rnacentral:rRNA from 1 species
CCUGGUGGUCAUGGCGGGGUGGCUGCACCCGUUCCCAUUCCGAACACGGCCGUGAAACGCCCCUGCGCCAAUGGUACUUCGUCUUAAGACGCGGGAGAGUAGGUC